rnacentral:rRNA from 1 species
AACGAACGCUGGCGGCAUGCCUAACACAUGCAAGUCGAACGAGACCUUCGGGUCUAGUGGCUCACGGGUGCGUAACGCGUGGGAACCUGCCCUUAGGUUCGGAAUAACUCCCCGAAAGGGGUGCUAAUACCGGAUAAUUUCUUCGGACCAAAGAUUUAUCGCCUUUGGAUGGGCCCGCGUUGGAUUAGCUUGUUGGUAGGGUAAAAGCCUACCAAGGCGACGAUCCAUAGCUGGUCUGAGAGGAAGAUCAGCCACACUGGGACUGAGACACGGUGCAGACUCCUACGGGAGGCGGCAGUGGGGAAUAUUGGAAAAUCGGCGAAAGCCUGAUCCAGCAAUGCCGGGUGAGUGAUGAAGGCCUUAGGGUUGUAAAGCUCUUUUACCCGGGAUGAUAAUGACAGUACCGGGAGAAUAAGCUCCGGCUAACUCCGUG